rnacentral:rRNA from 1 species
CUAUAUCGGCGGUGUCUACCUCUUCCCAUUCCGAACAGAGCAGUCAAGCCCGCCAGAGCCGAUGGUAUUGCCGUAACAGGUGGGAGAGUAGGUCGGUGCCUUUU